UGGAAAUAGAGAAUUGCCCAAA
rnacentral:piRNA from 2 species